rnacentral:rRNA from 1 species
UUAAGCGACUAAGCGUACACGGUGGAUGCCCUGGCAGUCAGAGGCGAUGAAGGACGUGCUAAUCUGCGAUAAGCGUCGGUAAGGUGAUAUGAACCGUUAUAACCGGCGAUUUCCGAAUGGGGAAACCCAGUGUGUUUCGACACACUAUCAUUAACUGAAUCCAUAGGUUAAUGAGGCGAACCGGGGGAACUGAAACAUCUAAGUACCCCGAGGAAAAGAAAUCAACCGAGAUUCCCCCAGUAGCGGCGAGCGAACGGGGAGCAGCCCAGAGCCUGAAUCAGUGUGUGUGUUAGUGGAAGCGUCUGGAAAGGCGCGCGAUACAGGGUGACAGCCCCGUACACAAAAAUGCACAUGCUGUGAGCUCGAUGAGUAGGGCGGGACACGUGGUAUCCUGUCUGAAUAUGGGGGGACCAUCCUCCAAGGCUAAAUACUCCUGACUGACCGAUAGUGAACCAGUACCGUGAGGGAAAGGCGAAAAGAACCCCGGCGAGGGGAGUGAAAAAGAACCUGAAACCGUGUACGUACAAGCAGUGGGAGCACGCUUAGGCGUGUGACUGCGUACCUUUUGUAUAAUGGGUCAGCGACUUAUAUUCUGUAGCAAGGUUAACCGAAUAGGGGAGCCGAAGGGAAACCGAGUCUUAACUGGGCGUUAAGUUGCAGGGUAUAGACCCGAAACCCGGUGAUCUAGCCAUGGGCAGGUUGAAGGUUGGGUAACACUAACUGGAGGACCGAACCGACUAAUGUUGAAAAAUUAGCGGAUGACUUGUGGCUGGGGGUGAAAGGCCAAUCAAACCGGGAGAUAGCUGGUUCUCCCCGAAAGCUAUUUAGGUAGCGCCUCGUGAAUUCAUCUCCGGGGGUAGAGCACUGUUUCGGCAAGGGGGUCAUCCCGACUUACCAACCCGAUGCAAACUGCGAAUACCGGAGAAUGUUAUCACGGGAGACACACGGCGGGUGCUAACGUCCGUCGUGAAGAGGGAAACAACCCAGACCGCCAGCUAAGGUCCCAAAGUCAUGGUUAAGUGGGAAACGAUGUGGGAAGGCCCAGACAGCCAGGAUGUUGGCUUAGAAGCAGCCAUCAUUUAAAGAAAGCGUAAUAGCUCACUGGUCGAGUCGGCCUGCGCGGAAGAUGUAACGGGGCUAAACCAUGCACCGAAGCUGCGGCAGCGACGCUUAUGCGUUGUUGGGUAGGGGAGCGUUCUGUAAGCCUGUGAAGGUGUACUGUGAGGUAUGCUGGAGGUAUCAGAAGUGCGAAUGCUGACAUAAGUAACGAUAAAGCGGGUGAAAAGCCCGCUCGCCGGAAGACCAAGGGUUCCUGUCCAACGUUAAUCGGGGCAGGGUGAGUCGACCCCUAAGGCGAGGCCGAAAGGCGUAGUCGAUGGGAAACAGGUUAAUAUUCCUGUACUUGGUGUUACUGCGAAGGGGGGACGGAGAAGGCUAUGUUGGCCGGGCGACGGUUGUCCCGGUUUAAGCGUGUAGGCUGGUUUUCCAGGCAAAUCCGGAAAAUCAAGGCUGAGGCGUGAUGACGAGGCACUACGGUGCUGAAGCAACAAAUGCCCUGCUUCCAGGAAAAGCCUCUAAGCAUCAGGUAACAUCAAAUCGUACCCCAAACCGACACAGGUGGUCAGGUAGAGAAUACCAAGGCGCUUGAGAGAACUCGGGUGAAGGAACUAGGCAAAAUGGUGCCGUAACUUCGGGAGAAGGCACGCUGAUAUGUAGGUGAAGCGACUUGCUCGUGGAGCUGAAAUCAGUCGAAGAUACCAGCUGGCUGCAACUGUUUAUUAAAAACACAGCACUGUGCAAACACGAAAGUGGACGUAUACGGUGUGACGCCUGCCCGGUGCCGGAAGGUUAAUUGAUGGGGUCAGCGCAAGCGAAGCUCUUGAUCGAAGCCCCGGUAAACGGCGGCCGUAACUAUAACGGUCCUAAGGUAGCGAAAUUCCUUGUCGGGUAAGUUCCGACCUGCACGAAUGGCGUAAUGAUGGCCAGGCUGUCUCCACCCGAGACUCAGUGAAAUUGAACUCGCUGUGAAGAUGCAGUGUACCCGCGGCAAGACGGAAAGACCCCGUGAACCUUUACUAUAGCUUGACACUGAACAUUGAGCCUUGAUGUGUAGGAUAGGUGGGAGGCUUUGAAGUGUGGACGCCAGUCUGCAUGGAGCCGGCCUUGAAAUACCACCCUUUAAUGUUUGAUGUUCUAACGUUGACCCGUAAUCCGGGUUGCGGACAGUGUCUGGUGGGUAGUUUGACUGGGGCGGUCUCCUCCUAAAGAGUAACGGAGGAGCACGAAGGUUGGCUAAUCCUGGUCGGACAUCAGGAGGUUAGUGCAAUGGCAUAAGCCAGCUUGACUGCGAGCGUGACGGCGCGAGCAGGUGCGAAAGCAGGUCAUAGUGAUCCGGUGGUUCUGAAUGGAAGGGCCAUCGCUCAACGGAUAAAAGGUACUCCGGGGAUAACAGGCUGAUACCGCCCAAGAGUUCAUAUCGACGGCGGUGUUUGGCACCUCGAUGUCGGCUCAUCACAUCCUGGGGCUGAAGUAGGUCCCAAGGGUAUGGCUGUUCGCCAUUUAAAGUGGUACGCGAGCUGGGUUUAGAACGUCGUGAGACAGUUCGGUCCCUAUCUGCCGUGGGCGCUGGAGAACUGAGGGGGGCUGCUCCUAGUACGAGAGGACCGGAGUGGACGCAUCACUGGUGUUCGGGUUGUCAUGCCAAUGGCACUGCCCGGUAGCUAAAUGCGGAAGAGAUAAGUGCUGAAAGCAUCUAAGCACGAAACUUGCCCCGAGAUGAGUUCUCCCUGACUCCUUGAGAGUCCUGAAGGAACGUUGAAGACGACGACGUUGAUAGGCCGGGUGUGUAAGCGCAGCGAUGCGUUGAGCUAACCGGUACUAAUGAACCGUGAGGCUUAACCUU